rnacentral:lncRNA from 1 species
UGGCUGAGCUGGGAUUCAAACCCAGGAUUGCAACACCAAAAUUUGUACAGUGCACCUUGCUGCCACCAUGCUAAGAAAGUGGCUGUGGAAAUGGGGAUGACUUUCAAGAGAUAUUUAGUAAAUGGAACCAACAAGGAAGCUUUUGGCCAGUCAGAUGUGGCAAGGGAAUAGAAAGAAGAGUCCAAGGUGACUCCUGUGCUUCUAGCUCGGGUACAUUUGUGAAGUAAUGUGAUUCAUCAAGGGAGUGCUUGGAAUGGGUUUGGACACAAUGAGUUUGGGACAAUGGCACAUCUGAUCCAGACACUGCUGGAUCAUACCUCUACCAAGGCAUCCCAUGAACAACUGAAAUCUGAGUCAGGAGAUAGUAGAUGUAGGAGUCAUUAUUUGUAUGACAUCCUUGACAAACCCUGUUGGGGAACCACACAGACCCUUCU